GCGGAGUCCUGUCUGUGCCCCUCAACAAUAAUAUUUAACUAUUAAUCACGGUUUUGCUAAAUAAAAGGAUCUGGCUUGCAUCAGUCACAUGAUCACUAUUAACCAAUGAUCGCCCUUGAUGGCAGAUCGCGCUGGUUACGAGCCUGGAACGAGCUCACAAAGAGCACGCGCAUUUUUUGCGGUCCGGAGCUGUAGGAGAAACACAAAUUACCUCGGAGACACAGACUGAUGCGACAAAACCACUACAGAUGCAGCCAGAACUGCAGCGACAGUCAGAACUCCAGAAAACCACAAAGCUAUGAACACACCGACUCCACAGCAGGACUUCACCUCAGACGUUUUCUCUGAAACACAUGAAAGUUCAUGCAGGACUGUAGCAGGACGCCACAUACAGCACACUGGAUACACACAAACAUUAAACACAGUCUAAACAACGACACAAUAAGAUCUUACCACAGUAACGCACGUCGAUCUGAUCACGGGUCACGUGGCCCAUCUCCUCCUGUGUGGCUACACAGUGGAAGAGGCUGCUGUUUGUCCUGGUCACCGUGGUGAGGAGGGUGAUGUCAUAGCGCUCUCCUGUGUGUGACACCUGUGGCUCCUCAGCAGGAAGGAUGUUUCCAUCGCUGUCCCUCCACUCUACUUUAGGCUUUGGAGAAGCACCUCUGACCUCACACUUCAGCAGCGCCUCGUCCUCGCUGAUGUUCAGGAUCCCAACAAA